GCAGCUGCCACUUCGCAUUCUUUGUAAAAUAUCCCAUUUCUGCCAUUUGCCACAAUUUCAACGGCAAAUGAGAUUUCUGGAAUCUUUUCUGUGGCCGGUUUAAGAGCCGUCCAGAUCCCAAUUAAAUAAACAUUUUGUUCAGAGAAUAUUUUUUGCGCCGCAAUCCCGAUUAUUUAAAAUUCGUCUCACGUACAUAUAAGCUGAACGUUCGCAUGGCAAAAAUAAA